rnacentral:lncRNA from 1 species
AACGGGGCGCACGCAUGCGCCGUACUCCCGACCGUUUCAAACCCGGGGCAGGCCGCCUCCUCUUCAACGCGCGUGCGCGAAUGCCCCGCUCUACCCUCCUUCCUCUCCGUUGCCUGCGGCUUCUGCCUCCUUCCACGCGGCCCCCCUCCCCUCCCGGCCCCUUGUCUCGCGCACGCGCCUUCCCCCAAGCGCCGCUCCACGGCCAGCGCGAGCCGCCCUUCUCUCCCAAUCGCCAUUUUCCUUGAAGGAGAAGGGGUGGGGGUGGGGGAAAAAGAAAGGAGGCCUCUUGUUACGGCGCAUGCGCCGAAGGCCGUCCGGCGAUGGGAGGCUUGGUGGAGUGGAACGGAAAAGGCGUCUGCUUCCUCUGACGUCACGACGCCGGCCUCACGCAGGGACGUCGCGACGCCAGCGGGGGGUGCGCGCGGGCGCGCGCCGUGCGUGCUUACGUCAAGGCCCGGGGCGCAACGUCCUCUCUCUCUCUCUCUCUGUGUCUCUCUCUCUCUCCUGCUGCUGCCCCUCCGAAUGAAAGGGAAGGUCCCGGCCAGGGAGAGCUUGAGGAGAGACGCGGGUCCGGCGGCGACGCGGGCUCUUCCUUGCCCUCUCGUCUCUCGGAGCCGCCCUGAAUGCCAUGCUGGGGAGAAAUGAAGACUCCACUAUUCUUACCAAAGGCGCCGAGGCUUUCUCUAACCAGCUUUAUUCUGCAGAAGUUCUCAUGGUUAUUAAAUCCUUGUAAGGAAACUGUUUGCUACAAACAGAGUGGUGAUAUUUAGGAUCCUGGUCUGGUAAGUGUAUGUGUUUAACGUGUCUUUUGUGUGUAAGUCCUGUCAGUAAGACGUUGAGAUCUGGGUUUUCAUAUAAAGUCUCUUGGAAAUGCAAUAAUCUGUCUCUCACAGUGGCUGUUUAUAUUUUGUGACCAUUAAGUUGCUACAGUGGGUGUUUCUGGGGGAAGUGAAGGGAUACUUUUAAAAAGGUAAUGUUUCUGAUUAUUUAAGACUUAACAAAAAUGUUGCAUACAAUAUAGCAGGAAAAUUAGGAUUUUAUAACACGGAUUUUUUAAACUAGCUAGUAGUUUGACACCUCUUGAAAUGUUUUUGUUUUACUUCUCAUAGUAAAUUCUUUUGGUAUAAAGAGAGGUAGAUAUGCGAGUCUUUUUCAGCAAAGCUAGUCUUACAGCCUCUGAAAGACUAACAUGUUUGUUAUGGUGUGAGAUUUUGUGAAUUAUUGUCCUCUUCCUCAGCUAUAGGAAAUCUUCUAGUUUUGUGUGCUUUUACUCACCCGGUAGACUAUCUGCUCCUUGAAUGCAGCCUUCAGCACCAUCACUCAAGUCCAGCUGCAUUUUUAAACAAUUGUGUAGUGAUGAGUAGCAUGGCCCUGAUACCUCCAUUGCCAUGGUGUAGAGCGAGUAGGGUUGCCUGCAGUGAGGUGGAAAGAAGACAAAAUACAGAAACUAGAAGUGGUCAUAAUUGGUGUUUUUGGGGGGUACAACUCCCAGAAUUCAGGGACAAGGUGUUCCAACAUAUGAAAAGUUCAUUAACACAUGCAGUGCGACGGGAAAGUCUCGGAUCAGGCCAGAGGUGGUACAGUAUAGUACAAUAUCUUCUUGGAUGUCUUCAUUUAGGAAGAGCCACUUAAGGUAAAAGUUCUG